rnacentral:rRNA from 1 species
UACGUAGGGUGCAAGCGUUAAUCGGAAUUACUGGGCGUAAAGCGUGCGCAGGCGGUUGUGUAAGACAGAUGUGAAAUCCCCGGGCUCAACCUGGGAACUGCAUUUGUGACUGCACGGCUGGAGUGCGGCAGAGGGGGAUGGAAUUCCGCGUGUAGCAGUGAAAUGCGUAGAUAUGCGGAGGAACGCCGAUGGCGAAGGCAAUCCCCUGGGCCUGCACUGACGCUCAUGCACGAAAGCGUGGGGAGCAAACAGG